rnacentral:misc_RNA from 1 species
UUAACUUAUUUGCUUGUUUUCUCAGAGAGGCCACUAAAAUACAGAAUAGUUUUUGGUGCUCCGGCGGGCACCCCCCCGAGGGGAGGCAGCGGCCCCGGGAAGGGGCCGCCCGCCGAGGCAACGGUUACGGGUAACGUUCACAAUGGUUUGGGAGUCUUUUUAGAACUCUGUAAUGAUCCCUCCGCUGGUUCACCAACGGAGA